UGGGGAAUAUUGGACAAUGGGCGAAAGCCUGAUCCAGCAACGCCGCGUGAGGGAUGACGGCCUUCGGGUUGUAAACCUCUUUCAGUAGGGACGAAGCUAACGUGACGGUACCUACAGAAGAAGCACCGGCCAACUACGUGCCAGCAGCCGCGGUAAUACGUAGGGUGCGAGCGUUGUCCGGAAUUAUUGGGCGUAAAGGGCUCGUAGGCGGUUUGUCACGUCGGGAGUGAAAACUCGGGGCUUAACUCCGAGCCUGCUUCCGAUACGGGCUGACUAGAGGUAUGCAGGGGAGAACGGAAUUCCUGGUGUAGCGGUGAAAUGCGCAGAUAUCAGGAGGAACACCGGUGGCGAAGGCGGUUCUCUGGGCAUUACCUGACGCUGAGGAGCGAAAGUGUGGGGGAGCGGAACAGGAUUAGAUACCCUGGUAGUCCACACCGUAAACGUUGGGCGCUAGGGUGUGGGGACUCAUUCCACGAGUUCCGUGCCGCAGCUAACGCAUUAAGCG
rnacentral:rRNA from 1 species